rnacentral:rRNA from 1 species
AGUGAACGCUGGCGGUAGGCCUAACACAUGCCAGUCGAACGGCAGCACAGUAAGAGCUUGCUCUUACGGGUGGCGAGUGGCGGACGGGUGAGGAAUACAUCGGAAUCUACUUUUUCGUGGGGGAUAACGUAGGGAAACUUACGCUAAUACCGCAUACGGCCUACGGGUGAAAGCAGGGGAUCUUCGGACCUUGCGCGAUUGAAUGAGCCGAUGUCGGAUUAGCUAGUUGGCGGGGUAAAGGCCCACCAAGGCGACGAUCCGUAGCUGGUCUGAGAGGAUGAUCAGCCACACUGGAACUGAGACACGGUCCAGACUCCUACGGGAGGCAGCAGUGGGGAAUAUUGGACAAUGGGCGCAAGCCUGAUCCAGCCAUACCGCGUGGGUGAAGAAGGCCUUCGGGUUGUAAAGUCCUUUUGUUGGGAAAGAAAAGCAGCAGGUUAAUACCCCGCUGUUCUGACGGUACCCAAAGAAUAAGCACCGGCUAACUUCGUG